rnacentral:rRNA from 1 species
UAGGGAAUCUUCCGCAAUGGGCGAAAGCUUGACGGAGCAACGCCGCGUGAGUGAUGAAGGUCUUCGGAUCGUAAAACUCUGUUAUUAGGGAAGAACAAAUGUGUAAGUAACUAUGCACGUCUUGACGGUACCUAAUCAGAAAGCCACGGCUAACUACGUGCCAGCAGCCGCGGUAAUACGUAGGUGGCAAGCGUUAUCCGGAAUUAUUGGGCGUAAAGCGCGCGUAGGCGGUUUUUUAAGUCUGAUGUGAAAGCCCACGGCUCAACCGUGGAGUGUCAUUGGAAACUGGACAACUUGAGUGCAGAAGAGGAAAGUGGAAUUCCAUGUGUAGCGGUGAAAUGCGCAGAGAUAUGGAGGAACACCAGUGGCGAAGGCGACUUUCUGGUCUGUAACUGACGCUGAUGUGCGAAAGCGUGGGGAUCAAACAGG